CCGGCGCAGAAGUUUCUGGAACUCCUUCAGGUCUUUCUCCAGUGUGGGAAACUCAUAAACGUCUUCCAGCACGUAUCGAUACAACGUCUGCAGAGUGAGAAGAGUUAAUAAAUGUAGUUGUUGAUCACUGAGCAGAUAUUUGGCAGUUCAUGAUCAUCAUAACUGACCGAUGACUUGUCAACAGUCGGAGUUUGAUGGCAGAAAUGCUUACGGUGAUGAUACACUGAUUAAUAAAACACUACAGAUGCAAAACCCAGCAACAAUUCUAGAUGAAAUCAUGUGGCCUUCAGCAGCGAGCAGACGGGAGAGAAGAGGAUCUCUGGAGUGAAGCUGAGGGAAACCAUUAUAGCAACUCAAGUCCAGACAUGAGGAUGAAGAUCCCUGAGGAGAACCCCUCUUUGCCCUCCGUCGCCCCCUGGUGUUCGUCCAGGCGCAGGUCGCUCAGCAGGUGCUCCAGGAUCUUGUGUGGCGUCCCAGACAC